CGGACGGGUGAGUAACGCGUAGGAAUCUACCCAGUAGUGGGGGACAACAGUCGGAAACGGCUGCUAAUACCGCAUACGCCCUAUGGGGGAAAGCGGGGGACCUUCGGGCCUCGCGCUAUUGGAUGAGCCUGCGUCGGAUUAGCUUGUUGGUGAGGUAAAAGCUCACCAAGGCGACGAUCCGUAGCUGGUCUGAGAGGAUGAUCAGCCACACUGGAACUGAGACACGGUCCAG
rnacentral:rRNA from 1 species